AGAGGUGCACAUUACGGAGAGACGGACAAGAGGUUGAUGUUACAUAAUGAAUAUUUACGAGAUUUUGUGAGAUUUUAUUGACGAGAUGUUAUCUUAUCGGGGGGAUUAAAUGCGAUAAUUGAUUCUAAUAAGCACCUGUUGUUUAAACACAUGUUAUGGGUGUUGGAGUAAUUAGUAGCGAGGAAGAUGGUGAUUGGUGGUGGGCGGUGACGUAAGGAGGCGCGAGGUUCAAAUGAUUGGUUGGGUAAAAGGAGAGUGAUGACGUCACUGCUGCAAGUCUUCUACUGAGAGAAAAAUGCAUCGUUUGUGCAAAUGAAUCAAGUGUGCACCUUACAGUUGAUAGAAUUGAAUAACAACAAUUAUAUCAAAACUGUCAACUAAAAUGAUAAUUUCAAAGUCAACCUUUUUCACACAGAAUGUUUCAACAUUUGGUGAUUUGUCAACAAAACUUCUAUUUUCAGAAGUCGAUUCUGACAGAUGUGGAAGACCUAAAUUUUGUGUUAGUAGAUAGAAACAAAAUUCUAUCAGAGAAAAAAAAUCAAACAAACAAUUAACCAAAAAUUGCACGCAUUGUUUUCCUGUAGCGUUGUGGAAAUUUCCUCAAGUGUUGCUCAAACUAUCUCUUAUCAUAUAAAUUAUCGUCCUAUUUUUCACUAAGAUUAGAUAAAAGAAAACAACACCUUUGUAUAGUCAACAAAAUGAGCAACAGAAAGAAGCAAUUUGACAAUACUCUCUUAGCUGUAGGAAUUGGGACCCUCCUCACAGGGGCAACUUAUGGUUUGUACAGUUACUUGAGGUCAAAAUGUCAAGAAAAAGCAUACCCAUCAACAUUCCCAAGCCAUGAGAGGAAAGAAAACAUUCUUGAAGUAGACAUUUGUCCCAUUUGUUUGGAACAAAUGACCUCCAACGGCACCACUUUUUCCUGUCAACACACUUUCCACAAGAAGUGUAUCUCCCAAUGGACCGAAGUCAGUAAAACUUGUCCAGUGUGUCGCAUGCUGUUAAAACAAAUGUGAAACUUACUUUACCCAAACCAUGAAGGCUGUGGAUUGCAAAAACAAGAAUCUGGAUGGCCGUGAUUCCAAGAAAACUACUUAUCUCUACUCACAUUUAUUUAAUUUAUCUUUAUACUUGUACUAAAUACACGUAAUCUCGACAAA